rnacentral:rRNA from 1 species
AUAAAAUUGAGUUUGAUGAUGGCUCUGAUUGAAUGCUGUUCAAAUGCUUGACACAUGCUAAUCGAACGUCUAUAUAAUUUAUAUUGUAAUAUAAAUUAAACUAGAAGUGGUGUACAGGUGAGUAAAUGAUAAGAUGACUACCUUAAAGUGUGGUGGAAGAUACUACAUAAAACAUAAAGGAAAAAUUUUCGCUUUAAGAUGUUAUUUAAAUCUCGGAUAGGUAGUAGUUAAAGUAAUUGUUUAACUAGCCAAAAAUUCCGUAGUCGAGUCUGAAAGGUCGAUCGACCACAUUGGAUCUGAGACAAGUCCAAUGCGUAAGUACAGCAGUGAGGAAUCUUGGUCAAUAGCCUAACGGCUGAACCAGCAAUUUGAAGGAAUAUGGUAAAUUAACCAAGUUCAAAGUAGAAUAAUGAUAAUGACAAAAUUCUAUUUAAAGUCUUGACCAAAUCACGUGCCAGCAGUCGCGGUAAGACGUGGAAGACAAGUGUUAUUCAUCUUUAAUAGGUUUAAAGGGUACCUAGACGGCAAAUCUUGCCUUUAAAAGGGAACAGAUUUGCUAGAGUUUUAUAUGAGAAGGGAGAAUUAUUGGUGGAGAGAUGAAAUUUUAUAAUACCUUUAGGACUGGUAAUGGCGUAGGCAACCUUUUAUGUAAAAACUGACGUUGAGGGACGAAGGCUUUGGUAAUGAACAGGAUUAGAUACCCUAGUAGUCUUAGCAGAAAAUGCUGAAUGCCAUAGGUUAUAAUAUAAUGGCCUAUAAAUGAAAGUGUAAGCAUUCCACCUCAAGAGUAAUGUGGCAACGCAGAAACUGAAAUCAUUAGACCGUUUCUGAAACCAGUAGUGAAGUAUGUUAUUUAAUUCGACGAUCCACGAAAAACCUUACCACAACUUGAAUAUUGAGUGAGUAAUGAUUUUAGUAAUAUGUACUAAAUAGUGGAAAGUUUUUUAAAUUUUCCACUCCGCUCUAUACAAGCGUUGCACGGCUGUCUUCAGUUAAUGUCGUGAGAUUUUGGUUAGUUCCGCUUAAUUAACGCAAACCCUUACUUUAUUUAAAUUUUGUUUUAUAAAGUUGUAUGUAGAGACAUAAAUAUGAUAAAAGGGACUAAGACAAGUCAUCAUGACCUAAAUGUUGUGGGCUAUAGAUGUGCCACAUAUGCCUUUACAAAGGGAUGCUAAAAUGUGAAUUCUCGCUAAUCCCCUAAAAUAGGAUAUAAUAUGGAUUGUAGUCUGAAAUUCGACUACAUGAAAAAGGAAUUACUAGUAAUCGUGUAUCACCAUGUCACGGUGGAUUUUACCCUCAGAUAGGUACUAACUACUCGUCAGGCGCUGAAAAGAGUACAUGCAAUAAGUUUGGUCUUAUUCUAUUACAAUAUUGCAAUUAGGCAAUUAAAGUUUUGUUUAAAGAUCUUCGUAUGCGUGACGCUAAUUGGUGUUAAGUCGAAAUAUGGUUCGUGUAGUGGAAAUUGCACGGGAUUAAUUAAUUAA